rnacentral:rRNA from 1 species
GACGAACGCUGGCGGCGUGCUUAACACAUGCAAGUCGAACGAAGUGGCGAACGGGUGAGUAACGCGUAAUCAACCUGCCCUUCAGAGGGGGACAACAGUUGGAAACGACUGCUAAUACCGCAUACUGAAGGAGGGGAUUGCGUCUGAUUAGCUAGUUGGAGGGGUAACGGCCCACCAAGGCGAUGAUCAGUAGCCGGUCUGACGGGAGUAACGGCCACAUUGGGAGUUAGACACGGCCCAGACUCCGACGGUGGGCAGCAGUGGGGAAUCUUCCGCAAUGGACGAAAGUCUGACGGAGCAACGCCGCGUGAGUGAGGACGGCCUUCGGGUUGUAAAGCUCUGUUAGUCGGGACGCGGUACCGAAAUAGAAAGCCACGGCUAACUACGUGCCAGCAGCCGCGGUAAUUC